UGGGGAAUCUUGCACAAUGGGGGCAACCCUGAUGCAGCGACGCCGCGUGAGCGAUGAAGCCCUUCGGGGCGUAAAGCUCUCUCGACCGGAACGAUAAUGACGGUACCGGGAGAAGAAGCUGCGGCUAACUACGUGCCAGCAGCCGCGGUAAUACGUAGGCAGCAAGCGUUGUUCGGAGUUACUGGGCGUAAAGAGUGCGUAGGCGGUUUUCUAAGUUCGGUGUGAAAUCUCCCGGAUUAACUGGGAGGGUGCGCCGAAGACUGGGAAGCUGGAGUGUGGGAAAGGCGGGCGGAAUUCCUGGUGUGGCGGUGAAAUGCGUAGAUAUCAGGAGGAACACCGGCGGUGUAGACGGCUUGCUAGACCAUAACUGACGCUGAGGCACGAAAGCGUGGGUAGCAAACA
rnacentral:rRNA from 1 species